GACUUUCUGGCAGAGUGGCAACCGUGUACGGGAUCUGGAAGCCUCCACGUACAUCAGGAGCCCCUUAGGAGACUCUCCCGCUGCCGGCCAUAGGAACCUGUGUUUGCAUUAGGAGGACCUUCACAGAAGAAAUUCUUUUGUUCCUGCUUCUCUUUUUUGCUGAGACAAAGGAAUGAAGACACCAGACUUGGAGCUGCCAGAGCCAUCUUGUGACCAUAAAUGUGACAGCAAACAAAGAUGAAGACAGUCAACAUGCUGAGGACAGCAAAGGAGACAGAUGGAAAGAGGGGUCCUUGACGACAGAGAGGCAGGACAUGGCUCUCACCAACCUCCAAGGCCCGGAUCCACUCCUUAGGUACCUGAGGAAAAAGUCGGUCAUUCUAGUGAACACAGAAUCUCCUCCU